AUCCAGCUGACGAGUCCCAAAUAGGGUGAAAUGUGCGUCCUGAAU
rnacentral:hammerhead_ribozyme from 1 species